rnacentral:rRNA from 1 species
UACGAAGGGGGCUAGCGUUGCUCGGAAUCACUGGGCGUAAAGGGUGCGUAGGCGGGUCUUUUAAGUCAGGGGUGAAAUCCUGGAGCUCAACUCCAGAACUGCCUUUGAUACUGAGGAUCUUGAGUACGGGAGAGGUGAGUGGAACUGCGAGUGUAGAGGUGAAAUUCGUAGAUAUUCGCAAGAACACCAGUGGCGAAGGCGGCUCACUGGCCCGUAACUGACGCUGAGGCACGAAAGCGUGGGGAGCAAACAGG